UUUAAGAAUAUUAUUGUUAAUUUUAAAUUAAAUUUAAUUAAAAAAAAUAAUUAUUUUUUAGUAAAAAUAUGAAAAAAUUAGGUUAAUUAUAGAUUAUUAGUAUUGAGAAAGAAUUAUCUUUAAAAUUUAAAAAGAAGAAGGAAUUUUGUACCUUGUGUAUCAGGGUUUAUUAAAUUAUAUUUAAAUAGUAUUUUCUCGAAUUUAAAAGAGUUAAAAUAAUAUAAUUUUAUUGUAGAAUAAAUAUUUAAAAUAUUAUUUUUGAAAUGAAACGUUAUACGUUUUUAAUAUAUCUAGUUAUUUAAGAAAAAAAUUAAAUUUUAUUAUUAUUAAUAUAUAAUUAAUUUUAUAAUUAUAUAUUAUUAAUAUUUAAUUUAUAAAGGGAUAAGCUUUUAUAAAAAUUAUUAAAAUUUUAUAUUUUAAGAAAAAUUAUAGGAUUAGUAGUUUCUAUUAUUAAAAUAAUGUUAUAGUUGAUUUUAUUUAAUUAUUAUUUAUAUAAAUUUUAAAUGGUUUAUUAAAUUAAAAAUUAUAAUUUAAUUAAAUUUUGAAAUAAUGAUAAAAUUAGUAAAAUAUAAUAUAAAAAUAGAUAAAAAGAUAAAGGUUAAAUAAAGGAAUUCGGCAAAAGAUUUUUCACCUGUUUAUUAAAAACAUGGCCUUUUGAUAAUAAUUUAAGGUCUGACCUGCCCACUGAGGUAUUUAAAGGCCGCGGUAAAUUGACCGUGCUAAGGUAGCAUAAUCACUAGUUUUUUAAAUGGAAGCUGGAAUGAAUGGUUGGAUGAAAAAAUAACUGUCUCUAUUUAAUUUAGAAUGAAUUUUAUUUUUAAGUAAAAAAGCUUACAUUUAUUUAAAAGACGAGAAGACCCUAUAGAGUUUUAUAAACAUUUAAAUUUUAGGUUUUUAGGAUUAUUAUUUUAUAAUUUAAAUUUUAUUUGAUUGGGGCGAUUGAAAAAUUUAAUUAACUUUUUUUAUGAAUUUUACAUAAAUUAAUGAGAAAUUGAUCCAUAA
rnacentral:rRNA from 1 species